rnacentral:pre_miRNA from 1 species
UCACCUCCGCAGGCGCCGGCCCCCAGGCUGGGCUGGGCGAAUAUCUCUUCAACAGGUUCACUCUCAAGCACGACUAGGAGC